AGAACGAACGCUGGCGGCAGGCCUAACACAUGCAAGUCGAACGCCCCGCAAGGGGAGUGGCAGACGGGUGAGUAACGCGUGGGAACGUGCCCUUCGGUUCGGAAUAACUCAGGGAAACUUGAGCUAAUACCGGAUACGUCCGUAAGGAGAAAGAUUUAUCGCCGAAGGAUCGGCCCGCGUCGGAUUAGCCAGUUGGUGGGGUAACGGCCUACCAAAGCGACGAUCCGUAGCUGGUCUGAGAGGACGGCCAGCCACACGGGGACUGAGACACGGCCCCGACUCCUACGGGAGGCAGCAGCGAGGAAUCUUGGGCAAUGGGCGCAAGCCUGACCCAGCGACGCCGCGUGGGCGAUGAAGGCCUUCGGGUCGUAAAGCCCUUUUGCAGGGGACGAUGAUGACGGUACCCUGCGAAUAAGCCACGGCUAACUACGUGCCAGCAGCCGC
rnacentral:rRNA from 1 species